rnacentral:rRNA from 1 species
UACGAGGGACCGAGCGUUGUCCGGAUUCAUUGGGCGUAAAGAGCUCGUAGGCGGCUGCUCAAGUCGAAAUUGUGAAAACUCGAGGCUCAACCUCGACCUGCAUUCGAUACUGGGCGGCUAGAGUCUGGUAGGGGGGAUCUGGAAUUCCUGGUGUAGCGGUGGAAAUGCGCAGAUAUCAGGAGGAACACCGUGGCGAAGGCGGGAUCCUGGCAUGACCUGAACGCCUGAG